rnacentral:rRNA from 1 species
AGCGAACGCUGGCGGCGUGCUUAACACAUGCAAGUCGAGCGAAGGUGUUUCAAGGGUAACCUUGAGAUACACUUAGCGGCGGACGGGUGAGUAAUACGUGGAUAACUUACCUCUAGGGCCUGGGAUAACCCCGGGAACGUAGGGGCGUAAUACCUGAUAAGACCACAUUGUCUACGGACGAAAGGGGUAAAAGGUGGCUGUGCAAACAGCUAUC